rnacentral:tRNA from 1 species
AGCUCCGGGGUGUAAUCACGUCAGAUUGCAAAUCUGGAAAUGCAGGCGAGAAGCCUGCCGGGGCUU